rnacentral:rRNA from 1 species
UAGCGGCGGACGGGUGAGUAACACGUGGGUAACCUACCUAUAAGACUGGAAUAACUCCGGGAAACCGGGGCUAAUGCCGGAUAACAUAUCGAACCGCAUGGUUCGAUAGUGAAAGACGGUCUUGCUGUCACUUAUAGAUGGACCCGCGCCGUAUUAGCUAGUUGGUGAGGUAACGGCUCACCAAGGCAACGAUACGUAGCCGACCUGAGAGGGUGAUCGGCCACACUGGAACUGAGACACGGUCCAGACUCCUACGGGAGGCAGCAGUAGGGAAUCUUCCGCAAUGGGCGAAAGCCUGACGGAGCAACGCCGCGUGAGUGAUGAAGGUCUUCGGAUCGUAAAGCUCUGUUGUUAGGGAAGAACAAAUGUGUAAGUAACUGUGCACAUCUUGACGGUACCUAACCAGAAAGCCACGGCUAACUACGUGCCAGCAGCCGCGGUAAUACGUAGGUGGCAAGCGUUAUCCGGAAUUAUUGGGCGUAAAG